rnacentral:rRNA from 1 species
CUAAACUGAGGAAAGUCGACCGAUACUGAUCGGCUAGAGGGACGUAGAGGUAAGCGGAACUCUCAGAGUAGCGGUGAAAUGCGUAGAGACCGAGAGGUACCCCGAUGGUGAAGACAGCUUACUGGGCGUCUCCUGACGCUGAAGCGCUAAGGCCAGGGGAGCGAAGGGGAUUAGAUACCCCCGUAGUCCUGGCUUCAAACGAUGUGGGCUUGGUGUCGGCUCCCGAUAGAGAGUCGUUGCCGGAGCUAACGUGUUAAGCCCACCGCCUGGGGAUUACGUCCGCAAGGAUGAAACUCAAGGGAAUUGACGGGGGCCCACACAACCGGUGGAGCACGUGGUUUAAUUCGAUGAUAAGCGAAGAACCUUACCAGGGCUUGACCUAGCGGUGGUAGGAUCCUGAAAAGGAAACGACCUCAAGCUUUGCUUGAGGAGCC